UACGUAGGGUGCGAGCGUUAAUCGGAAUUACUGGGCGUAAAGCGUGCGCAGGCGGUUCGUUGUGUCGGCGGUGAAAGCCCCGGGCUUAACCUGGGAAUGGCCGUCGAAACUGGCGAACUGGAGUGUGGCAGAGGGGGGUGGAAUUCCGCGUGUAGCAGUGAAAUGCGUAGAGAUGCGGAGGAACACCGAUGGCGAAGGCAGCCCCCUGGGCUGACACUGACGCUCAGGCACGAAAGCUUGAGGAGCAAACAGG
rnacentral:rRNA from 1 species